AUGAGAAAAACUAAUUUUUUCCCCAUCCGUUUCAAACUGACAUACCGACUUUUGCUGAUAGAUUACAAUUUAGCAAGGUUCUUAAGAGAAACAGAGACAAAUAAUGAAAAUCCGAUGCUUUCCAAAAGAACAUGGAUGCACGUCAUCAUGCCAGCUGUGAAUAUGUCUAAACUAAAAGUCCACAUGCCCUUCCUGGUGUGAAGUGUGUUUAUCUGUGCAGCAAGCAAGCAUUUAAUGAGUAACUACUAUUGUAAUAUUUGUAAAGAAUAAUGUGAUUAAAAAAAGAGGAAGGAAAAACCAACAAAAACCUUGAAAUUUAACACUGCAUUAGAAUGCUCUCUGAAAAACAUUUCAACCUUCGUCCUUUUAACUCAAAGCGUCCAAACAUAGAGAAAACAGCAUGCUUGAAAACAAACAAAACAACAAAGAUAGCAAUAUUCAUAGAAAUUAAACCUUAAUUCAGAAUAAAAACAAACAAUUGUUCUAAUGGGACAGAGGGCACCCUGAAACAUUGAUGCGUGACUGUUUUGGGGUAUCUAACGUUCGGAGUAGGCGGUAUGUCAGGGUGUUUUUGGCAAUUCAUUUGUGAAAGACGUAUCAAAAUAUUGCAUAAACUGCGAAGCCCAUGAAUGGCUUUUCUCCCCUUUGAACAGAGACACUUUCUUCACCCCGUUUGAGCCAUUUUAACCUUAGGGACAGAUUUAGAAAAGCCCUUAGCACAUGCUAGCAUUCUUAGCAUUGCCAGACUGUACUAACCUCAAUGUCAAUAUGUUGCGGCACGCCGAGGUUGUGUUAUUGAGAGGCUUUGGCAAAUCUGGCCCCUUGGUUGGAUAAUAACAUACAAAAAGCAUUUGAUAUACAAAAGGUGUAUCCAAUCCAGACCAACAUUGCAGAGAUGAUGCCAGCGGGACGGUAAAAUCCCAAGUAACAGCUCAUGGUUUACAUAGAACACAUGGACGAGGAAAAGAAACCAAAGCAAAGCAGUAAAAUGACAGGCACUGCAUGUUAAAAUUGUGUUUUAACCCAUUUGGUAUUUCUUACAGUGUUUAUAUCCAUGUAUAUACCUUCAACUUGAAUUGCUGGUUUGCUAAGAGUCAAAAAGGGAGUGCAAAAAAUAAUAAGCCAUUCUACAGAAAUUAAGGAUGGGUCUUCAUUCAUAUUAAUCUGCUGUAGAACUGUACCCCAGAAACAGUGCGCCACCAUCAACACUGCAGUAAUAUGUCAUCAAAGUUCAGAUUAAAACCAUCUAUCACCCCCACAGCUCAAUCAGCAACAUGAGUAUCUGAA
rnacentral:lncRNA from 1 species